rnacentral:rRNA from 1 species
AACGUAGGUUCCGAGCGUUAUCCGGAUUUACUGGGCGUAAAGCGCGUUCAGGCGGUUUGGCAAGUCGGGCGUGAAAUCUCUCGGCUCAACCGGGAGAGGUUGUCCGAUACUGCUGGACUUGAGGGCAGUAGAGGGUGGUGGAAUUCCGGGUGUAGUGGUGAAAUGCGUAGAUAUCGAGAGGAACACCGGUGGCGAAGGCGGCCAACUGGACGAAUACUGACGCUGAGACACGAAAGCGUGGGGAGCAAACAGG